GAUGAUAUUAGAGUGAUUCGGAGU
rnacentral:miRNA from 1 species